ACGAACGCUGGCGGCACGCUUAACACAUGCAAGUCGAACGAGAGAAGAGGAGCUUGCUUUUCUGAUCUAGUGGCGGACGGGUGAGUAACACGUGAGCAAUCUGCCUUUCAGAGGGGGAUACCGAUUGGAAACGAUCGUUAAUACCGCAUAACAUAAUUGAACCGCAUGAUUUGAUUAUCAAAGAUUUAUCGCUGAAAGAUGAGCUCGCGUCUGAUUAGCUAGUUGGUAAGGUAACGGCUUACCAAGGCGACGAUCAGUAGCCGGACUGAGAGGUUGAUCGGCCACAUUGGGACUGAGACACGGCCCAGACUCCUACGGGAGGCAGCAGUGGGGAAUAUUGCACAAUGGAGGAAACUCUGAUGCAGCGAUGCCGCGUGAGGGAAGAAGGUUUUAGGAUUGUAAACCUCUGUCUUCAGGGACGAAAAAAGACGGUACCUGAGGAGGAAGCUCCGGCUAACUACGUGCCAGCAGCCGCGGUAAUACGUAGGGAGCGAGCGUUGUCCGGAAUUACUGGGUGUAAAGGGAGCGUAGGCGGGAUCGCAAGUCAGAUGUGAAAACUAUGGGCUUAACCCAUAAACUGCAUUUGAAACUGUGGUUCUUGAGUGAAGUAGAGGUAAGCGGAAUUCCUAGUGUAGCGGUGAAAUGCGUAGAUAUUAGGAGGAACAUCAGUGGCGAAGGCGGCUUACUGGGCUUUAACUGACGCUGAGGCUCGAAAGCGUGGGGAGCAAACAGGAUUAGAUACCCUGGUAGUCCCAGCCGUAAACGAUGGACGCUAGGUGUGGGGGGACGAUCCCCCCGUGCCGCAGCCAACGCAUUAAGCGUCCCGCCUGGGGAGUACGGCCGCAAGGCUAAAACUCAAAGGAAUUGACGGGGGCCCGCACAAGCAGUGGAGUAUGUGGAUUAAUUCGAAGCAACGCGAAGAACCUUACCAGGUCUUGACAUCGUAUGCAUAGCUCAGAGAUGAGUGAAAUCUCUUCGGAGACAUAUAGACAGGUGGUGCAUGGUUGUCGUCAGCUCGUGUCGUGAGAUGUUGGGUUAAGUCCCGCAACGAGCGCAACCCUUACUGUUAGUUGCUACGCAAGAGCACUCUAGCAGGACUGCCGUUGACAAAACGGAGGAAGGUGGGGAUGACGUCAAAUCAUCAUGCCCCUUAUGACCUGGGCCUCACACGUACUACAAUGGCUGUCAACAGAGGGAAGCAAAGCCGCGAGGUGGAGCGAACCCCUAAAAGCAGUCUUAGUUCGGAUUGUAGGCUGCAACCCGCCUACAUGAAGUCGGAAUUGCUAGUAAUCGCAGAUCAGCAUGCUGCGGUGAAUACGUUCCCGGGCCUUGUACACACCGCCCGUCACGCCAUGGGAGUCGGUAACACCCGAAGCCUGUAGUCUAACCGCAAGGAGGACGCAGUCGAAGGUGGGAUUGAUGACUGGGGUG
rnacentral:rRNA from 1 species